rnacentral:misc_RNA from 1 species
CCAAUAGCGUAUAUUAAAGUUGUUGCAGUUAAAAAGCUCGUAGUUGAAUUUCGGGAUCAAGUCGUCGGUCGUGCCUCGGUACGCACUGGUGACAUUGGUUUCUCCCUUCUGAAGAACCUUGAUGUCAUUAAUUUGGUGUCUUGGGGAAUCAGGACUGUUACUUUGAAAAAAUUAAAGUGUUUAAAGCAGGCUCACGCUUGAAUACAUUAGCCUGGAAUAAUGAAAUAGGACGUUUGAUUCUAUUUUGUUGGUUUCUAGGAUCGACGUAAUGAUUAAUAGGGAUAGUUGGGGGCAUUAGUAUUCAAUUGUCAGAGGUGAAAUUCUUGGAUUUAUUGAAGACUAACUACUGCGAAAGCAUUUGCCAAGGAUGUUUUCAUUAAUCAAGAACGAAAGUUAGGGGAUCGAAGACGAUCAGAUACCGUCGUAGUCUUAACCAUAAACUAUGCCGACUAGGGAUCGGAUGAUGUUAAUUUUUUAAUGACUCAUUCGGCGCCUUAC